rnacentral:lncRNA from 1 species
UGACUAGCGGUACGGUAUUGUUUUAUUACUACUUAAAAAUAUUAGGAGAACUCUACUAUUUUGGCAAUUAAUGCUUCACACUUGGAGGUUAGUGCCGGUGUCCACGUUAAUGAAAUUUCUAUUGUACAUUCGAUCUUUUUUUUAACAAACCAGCAUGAGACGGUGUCCAUUUCUAUUGACAGAGAAGAAAGGUACAAGCCCUAGGGGCAAAGCAAAAUAAAAAAAAUAAAGAUAAUUACAACAAAGAUGGCCAAAAGCAAUGGCAGAGCAAUGAAUUAUGCUUAGGAAGGGGG